AUGAGCGAACGGUUGUACAAAAAAAUAAAAGAAACUGAAUGUGAGUCUAAUUUAUUUAUUUCAAAUAACAAGGUAUUGUUUGAGAAUGUGUAUAGUCUGAUAACAGAUGGCAUUCCAAUUCCUAGUACGUAUUAUGUGAACGAAAAAAUAGUUGAUAGUGAAACUGAUAGAUAUAUUUUAACAAAAUACAUAUAUGAUGUAGAUGAUAUAAUAUAUAAAUUAGAAGCACAUUCAAAGAUACAACUUGAGAAGGUAAAGAAUUUAAGAGUAGAAUGUAUAGAUGAAAAAAAAUAUUUAAAAGAAAAUGAGAUCGAAUUAUUAUAUGAAAAAGAUAAAUAUAAUGAAUUGGAUUCGAUACAAAUAUAUGUAUCUUAUAAUAAUUUUGAAUAUAUAUGGAAUGAAGAUACUAUGCCUUAUUUUUUAAGUUGUUAUCAAGACGAAAUAAAUUUCAAAACACAUACUCAUAUUUUAGAAAAAAGUGAUUGUGGUUAUGAUUUACAAAUAGAAUUAUAUGAAAUCCCACAAAAUCCAGUACAAGCAUUUUUAGUUGCAUGUCAUUUGUCUAAAAUAAGAGAAGCAUUACAAUGUGGUCCUUUUAUGUAUUUUUUUUUAAACAAAAUAAAUUUACCAGAAAAUUUAUUUGAAAAAUUUAUAAUCAGAAAAAACGAAGUUAUUUUUAUUCUUAAAAAAAGUGAUUAUGUUUUAGUUGUUAUAUCUAUACAUUAUUAUGAUCACAUUGAUAAAUAUAUUGUAAUAGGACUAUGUCAAAAUAUUCAUUUAAUUACCAAAACUAUGGAUUUAUGUGGAAACCUGGACUGUUCUUUUUAUACUAAGUUCCCAUCACAUUUAAUUACUUCAGAAUUUUUCAUUUACGAUAAUACUGAUAGUAAUAAUUAUGAAGUCAGACGAUCUGCUCGACGAGAGGAUCACACUGAUACAGGUGGUAGCUACACAUUUGAGACACAAAAAAGUGAUUGCAGUAGCGUAGAUUCUGAAAGUGUAAACAAAAACUACGAUAAUGGUAAUGAGAAUGAGAAAGAUAAAGCAGAAGGUGAAGGAGAAGGAGAAGAAAAGGAGAAAAAAGAAAAUGUAGAAGAAACGGAAAAUGUAGAAGAAACGGAAAAUGUAGAAGAAAUGGAAAAAGUAGAAGACGCAGAAGAGGCAGAAGACGCAGAAGAAGCAGAAGAGGCAAAAGAGGCAGAAGAGGCAGAAGAGGCAAAAGAGGCAGAAGAGGCAGAAGAAGAAAAAAAUAAAAUACCUAAUGUUGGAUUUGUGUCGAUAAAAAUGGAUAUACAAUUAUUUAACAGCUGUCGUGAUUUUUCAGAAUUGGUAAAAGUUGCUAGUAGAAUAUCUCACAUAAUAAUUUCUUUUCGUCAUUUCUUAAAUAAUGCUUUAGUUUUAUAUAGGAUAAAACGUAGGCGUAUUUAUUAA
rnacentral:lncRNA from 1 species